GUCUCUUUGGUCUAAUGGUUAGGACGUUGCUUUUUCACGGCAGAAAUAUGGGUUCAAUUCUCAUAAGAGAUU
rnacentral:tRNA from 2 species